GUCCAUGCCGUAAACGAUGGAUGCUAGCCGUUGGUGGGUUUACUCAUCAGUGGCGCAGCUAACGCAUUAAGCAUCCCGCCUGGGGAGUACGGUCGCAAGAUUAAAACUCAAAGGAAUUGACGGGGGCCCCGCACAAGCGGUGGAGCAUGUGGUUCAAUUCGAAGCAACGCGCAGAACCUUACCAGCCCUUGACAUGGCAGGACGGUUUCCGGAGACGGAUUCCUUCUCGCAAGAGACUUGCACACAGGUGCUGCAUGGCUGUCGU
rnacentral:rRNA from 1 species